rnacentral:rRNA from 1 species
AUGGUGGUGAUGGCCACCGUGAUGCUUUCCUGUGACGCUGAAAGAGAUUACUGUGUUACGGUUUAUGAUGUACCAUGCACGCGCGACAAGUGCGUGCCUCUAUGUGCUCAAACUGGUUUCACAAAAAAUCCCCACUGCUUCACCGAAGACAAGUGCUGUUGUCAGAUGGACUUGGAGCCCAUGGUCGCCGCAGAUAAGUAUGAUCAAAGAAGGAGGCAUGCCUUCGUUGUCGAGUCCUUCCUGAGUAACAUGUUCAGUCCUUGUCCAACAUCGUCAAUCCCUACUCGUCGUAACGAUAGCAAACGACAAACAAUAAAUACCAAAGCAAUAGCAAAUCCAAAUGACAUGCAAACAAUUCAAGAGUGGAUGGAUAGCAAGAUAUUGAUCAAGAUGGAGACUCUGAAAGGAGAUAGCAUGAUUGGAAGGUAA